ACAGAGGGGGCAAGCGUUGUUCGGAAUUACUGGGCGUAAAGGGCGCGUAGGCGGCCCUCUAAGUCAGACGUGAAAUCCCCGGGCUCAACCCGGGAACUGCGUCUGAUACUGGAGGGCUUGAAUCCGGGAGAGGGAUGCGGAAUUCCAGGUGUAGCGGUGAAAUGCGUAGAUAUCUGGAGGAACACCGGUGGCGAAGGCGGCAUCCUGGACCGGUAUUGACGCUGAGGCGCGAAAGCCAGGGGAGCAAACGGGAUUAGAUACCCCGGUAGUCCUGGCCCUAAACGAUGAAUGCUUGGUGUGGCGGGUAUCGAUCCCUGCCGUGCCGAAGCUAACGCAUUAAGCAUUCCGCCUGGGGAGUACGGUCGCAAGGCUG
rnacentral:rRNA from 1 species